GCAGUCAUCGCGGGUGAGCUGCGGCAGGGUGAAGAGGGAGCUGGUGCCCUCUGACGUGCUGCCCAACAGACGACUCGCCAAAUCUAAGAGAGAACAAGGUAGCUGAUGGUGAGCCUCAUUAUUGACGCCUUGUCCAGGCUGGAGCUGAUGCUGUGGGGCAGAGGCAGCUCCUGGGCCAGCUCGUAGAACACCUCCGACUCCUUCCCACGCCGGCAUCGUGCUGCAUCCCUCGACUUCUCCUUCCUACGCUCCGAGCUCACCCUGCGGGAGACAGGUGGUGGGUCAUCCACAGCCUGGCCACAAACUGGUUUUGAUUCCACUAUGCACACUACAAGAGCUGACAUCCCUCCUUCCCGACAGUGUGUGUGUGUGUGUGUGUGUGUGUGUGUGUGUGUGUGUGUGUGUGUGUGUGUGUGUGUGUGUGUAUGUAUAUACAGGGUCUGGUCAGCCACUGGCCUGUCACUUAGAAGCAAACUCACAGCCAAGCUGCCCCCUGGACCCCCCUUCAGACUCAUUUAAAUACAUGGAUAUCUGCAACCGACUUAUUGGCUGCUAACCAAAAGAAAUGGACUCCACCCCUUCAGAGUGAUUGGCUGAGACGCUGGGCAUGGAUCCUCCUGUCUGUCUCUUGAUGCGCAGCCAAGCUACAGUGCGACACCAAUCAUAGUGACAUUUACGAGCCUGGCUCAACGGAUCUACAGGGAGGAUAAUGAUAAUACUGGCACAAACACAGAGAGCACACACCAACACAGAGUGAGUGACACCUUCAACUACCAGGACAAACAAAUGGUCAUAUUUCUAUUAUUUUACAUGAGCAUCCCUCAUUAUCUCCAUUUUAUAUCAAGCUUUUAUCUAGGCAGUUUUCCAAGGCCUGGCUAAUGGACUCUCACCACACUGUAAACAAGAUCUUAAGACCUGGCAGUAUUUUAAAAUGACAAAGUACAGCAUACUUUAAAAGGACAAAAUGACAUGUGUAAGUCACUAUAAAUGAAGAAAAACAUGGCUUUUAAGCCAAGCACUGAUUUGAGCUUUUAUUUGUAUUGGUGAACAUGUGUGAAGCUCACAUCACCACUUACAUAGAUAGACUGGCUAAAUAAUCUUCAACAUAAUUGCAACAGUCCACCUGACUGCUGCUAAAUUUAUACCUCAAUCCCUCUCCCAAACCAUUACCUCAUAACCUCACAUGCAUUUAGAUGACACUGGAGCAGAAAAGCCAAUUCAAAAGCCCCUGGCUUUUAAAUGUACACCAAAUUGAAAUUGAUCUGUUAUUCACUUACAGCAUUGACCAAGGCCAUAUUGUUAUUUGAGACGUUAACUAAAAUUAGCCUCCUGUGUAUCAAAUCACCUGGCAGGGGUGCAAACAGAUUUUUUCAUAGGUUAUUGGGCAUUGGUUUUAGACCAAAUACAAAUUAUAAAAUUAGUCUUCUGUGGUAAAAAGUCUGAGCAGGGCUUCUCUUGGACAGCCCCAAACUUGCACUAACCUAAGCCUGAGAAAAACAUAUGUACGCCUGUUAACACAUAAGGAUUUUGUGUGCACACUGUUGCUCAGGUGCCUCCCUACAUAGUUGCAUAUAGUGCAAACACUGCACUAGGGGGCAGUGGUCAAACUGUACAAAAACAAACAAAAAAUAAAAAUAAAAAAUAAAACAGAAACCACUUUCUAUCCUAGGGAUUUAAACAAAAGAAUCUAAAAACAAAUACAAAAAUCCAACCCACCCAAUCGAUGUUGGAUCAUGGCCUAACCCCAAUUCUACUGGACAUCUUUCUUUGUUCAUCUAAUCCCCUUUUGAUGACAAACGCCUGCAGAUACAAAUUAUGUGUAACUGAGGUUCUUGGUGGUGCAUAUACAAAAAUCCUCCUCCUGUCAAAAAUGUUUGUGUGUAGUGUUAUUUAAACAAGUUUCAACCCAGACCGUAAUUACAGCUACAAGAACAAGCAUUUAUAUUCAUCCACAUGUUUGCACAUUUGUCAGUACCACUGACAAAUAUUUACAAUAUCUUCUAUCUUAUGUCCCCACAGGACAUAGCCAGAAUAUCUGGGCAUCAUGAAAGCUGAUAGCAGUCCUGUAUUAGAUCAGCACAUUUCCCUUCUUUGAAGGUCUACUAAGGCCUACUAUAACACAACAAUCACCUCCAACCUACAUUCAUGUAGUUAGGUGAAUUUAUUAACACAGGGUGAAAUGAUCACUAAUGAUUAUCAAGCCCUUGUACACAGGGAACACACUGGGAAAGUCCUCUUGCUAAGCUACUGGCUAAGCUUCUGAUGAUCUAAUGACAGAUAAACUCCACACAUUGUUAUAAACUGUGGUCCCACUAGGAGGCUAGAUGACUGAUUAGUACAAGCCUGUAUACAAAAAUGUUUCCCUCUGUAGUGGCUGCACCCCAUUGUAUCACAUGACUUUAUGCAAACUUUACGCUGUAAUAUUCCACUAGAUACACCUCCUCUGAACACAGUACAAUAGAGAGAAGGACAUUUAACUAAGUCUACAUUCAACAUGACAAGCAAUAAGCUUUAUAAACACCUGUGAUACCAAAGAUUCAGAGGAGAAGUAUUUAUCUAAACUUACAGAUCAUAAAAAGACAACAGAUUGUGUUGUAAGCAUAACCUCUUUUCACUGUAUCCAAUUUUAAAGAAUACAGCCCUGUGACACAACUGUUAAAUACAAGCAUUUACUUUUGUACUUGUUUUUGCACUUACUGGUCCUGUGAUAAUUAAUUAUAAAAAAGUAAAAUUGCUGCUAUUUAAUGACCCAACUCCAAUGUUCAAACUUACAAAAAGCAAGAUGAAAACUGCUUUUAUUCUUUUACAUGAAACAUGCAAUGACAACAAAACACGUUUGUUUUUAUCCCUCGAUGUUAAAACAAAGACAGCAGAGAGGCCACCAUUACAUAACACUAUUAAUGCACAUGGUCAUGCAUGCCCAGCAGUCCUCUGCCUGACAUGCCUCACUGCACACAAUCACAUUUGCAGUUUCACUAGCUAUAAUUAGACUUGUUGUGUUUUCUAAUAAGAAUGAGUGCUAUUAUGUAAACAAAAAUUGAGCUGGUAACAGAACAAGUGGAUUGGUGAUUAAGGGGGAAACAAACCGGUGUACAAUGAAAAUGAACCUUUCCAGUACUACCAGAGUUGCUUGAGUAUUUUGUUACUAGGGGCUGACCUAUUUAACUAGAGAAAUGUUUUCACUAUCUGUCAGUCCUGUUUUGUGUGACAGUAAACAUAGUCUUAUCUAUUAUAUAAUCCAGUUUGGGGAAACACCACAACUAAAUCCUCUACCCAAUAUGGGGAGAAAAGCAAAGCAAGACUGAAAACACCCUUUUACUGACAAAUGAACCCUUGGCAUGAAUAAUCAGCUACACGAAGAGACAUUUUUGGAAGCAGCAUAGUAGGGGACUCCCCUACAUCCUUGACUGAGUAUGAUGCUAUUAGUGCAUUACGAACAUACUUUGCCUAUGGUGGAUGAUAAAAUCAAUACUACGCCCUAUUUUGUAAGUAGAAUAACAGAGCUACAGUUGAGUAUGGUGCUUCAGUGGUGGUGAUGUUACAUAUUUCCUUGUGUUCAGCAACUCCAUCAUCUAAAUAAAUAAAUAAAAAUAGAGGGAAAUUCUUACAGGAAACUGAAUGAACAUUUGUGCUGACUGUAUUAAUAUAUUUAUAUUCAAUUUAAAUUUUCUUAGUGAAAACCGUGUCGUUUUUUUUGACUGCUUAGUUUUCAUCAUGUAAACUGUACAAACUUUGGUCAAAUGGUCCCACCUGAGCUAGUUCCAGUCCAUUAGAGGUGAUUUAAAGCUCUGGAAAAGCUGCAUCUUAUUAUUUUGUCACGUCAGAAUAAAGGCUAUUUUUUUCUUUUCUGGCAUGAGGAGUAUAAAAACAUGAAGAAAAACUAGCAUAUGGGAUAGUAACAAUUAUCUGUUAGUUUUAAAGUUGCUGUUACUGCAGUGUGGGGCGUUACUGGAGUUUGUCAUAAUAUAUUACAACAGAUUCCUGAUCAAAAUAUAUAUGAAGCAAAAUCGUGUUUUUGUUUAUCCCCAUACACAAUAUACCCGUCGUUGCAUCUGAGAUUUUCAUCAGCAGUGGUAGCUUGAAGGCUUACAAGAUUCUUAAGUUCACAGUAUAUAAUAAAAAUAAUUUACUACUUCCAACAGGGACUCUUGAGUGUCCCUCUCCACUGAGAGGUCUAGUCCUGGCAAACAUGCUCAAAAUGACCAACAUUAUAAAUCAUUCACCAAGCUAAUAUAACUCAAAUGACCUCUGCUAUAUUCCCAAGAAGACUACUUCAGCUGAUUACAUCUGGACUAUGUACAUCCACCAAGUCCAACUCAUGCACUUCAUUCUUAACAAAAAGAGCCUCUCAACUGGAGUUGGGCCAGUCUGCCUACAAAUGCAAUUUUGCAUGGAAUGGGUACGGGAGCCAAAAAAACAUUUAAGCUUGUUUUCCCCUUAAAUGUGACAUGUGACAAGGGGAAGAAAGGUAUACAGCACUACCUUGAUUUUUGCAUCCUGCUCAGAUUUGACACUUUACUCAAAGUCUAAGUCUAAGUUUAGGUACUUUAACCAUCUACGCUGCUGACCUUUGGCCUUUCAAAGGAGGUCCAAUUAUAUUACAGCUAAGGAUUUUCUUCAGAAUGACUUUAACAGUUCUUUGUGGCAAUAUGGCGUCAUAACGUCAGAAACAUUGCUCAUAAUUAUCAGUAUUUGUUGACAGACAGUGACAGACAGUGGCAGACAGUCCAUGAGCUCAAAACUCAAAAUAAAUAAAUAACAUGAGUCCAAAUAUGAAUCCAGAUUUAGGUAUGGACAAUGUGUCUAAUGCAAUGAAAGAUGUAAUACUGAAAUGUGUUAUCUAGGCACAUUUUGGAUUUGGUGGACCCUGAAUUCUAUACAAAGUAUGUGGUAGUAAAGUAGAAUAUAGUAGAAUUGUACAACUGAUCAGCACUAGCAAAUACUGUGUUUUCAACAACACGAUGUAUGGAGGUAUUGUUUUCAUACUUCCUUCCUUGCAUUGUUUUUGAGACACUCUGUCAAUGCCAUUACGACACUGGUGUAUGUAUUAAUGAUGCAAGUGAAAAAAGAUGUAUCAUUAAGCAGAUAAAUGUGGGAUUUUACAACUCACUG